GGGAGAGCCUAAAAGUCACCACCUGGGGCAUUAAAAAAGUAUCAAAGGGCUGGGCCAGACUUUCAAAAUAAGUGAGAGUGGAUUAAAAGCUGUAUCUAAAGUCAAGAUCACUCAAAUAUAAAUCUAGCCUCAGACAAUUACUAGCUGGAUAACCCUGAUUGAUUGGUAUUUAUACUUUAUUCUCUAAGAGGACCAUGACUUCAGGAAGAGGAUGCCAUGACUUGCAAAGUGAAUUGGAUUUAAUCGAGGGAGAACUGUGGGAAGUCACCAAUCUUACUCUUUCCGCCAGUGGCAAGAUAUCUAUCAGGAUGAUUGGAGGUUGAGGAAUCGAAAUUAUUUCUUCUACUUUAUCUGCAUAGAUCUUGGAGCUAAAGAUAUUGUCAACAAAAAGCAGUACAAAGUCACAGUUUAUAGCUGCCCAUCUGGUUUCUUGUUUGGCCCUAACCUCCCAAGGACUGAAAACUCAUGCCAGGGACAAACAAUGAAGGAGGAAAGAAACUGAGAGUUUGACCCCUGGGACUUGAGAGAAAGGUGACCUGAGUAGAAGCAAAAGGUAGGAAACAGGCUAAGACUUUAUGAAGCAGGCUUGAUGGGAACAUCUUG